CACAUUGUGCUACCUUAGGACAGAGCCAAGCUAGGUGUUUCCUAUUGUUUCCAGUCUUCAUGCUAAGCUAAACCAACAGGCAGCUGG